AAAGUACUGCUCAUAACGCCAAAACUAACUCAUCAGUCGUUCCCAAUUCGAUAAAUUUCAGAACUUCAGAAAAUAGCCUUUAACGAAUUGGGUCUUUUCACUCAUGAUCUUCUCCUAUUUCCUUCUCGUUUUCUUUCCCAUUUGCAAAUUACAACUAUCCCAUUCUUUCUCAUAUUUUUUUUCGAAGGUAGUCCAAAAUCCUGCAAUGGGUCUUCCACUACAUCUCACCACAUGAAGUCUCAACUACUAGAACAAGAAAACACAGAAGAAGAAGAUGAAAAUGAGGAAGAGAAACUCAGAAACUAAAAACCCUGAUUAUGUUCUUAAAUUAAAGAAACCAAUAAUUUCACAAUGGCUUUCAACAUUUUUCUUACCGACCCAGAAAAAAAAGGCCUUUCUAGCUUCAGAAAAACUGAAUCUGGUCAUCUUUGAAGUCUCUUUUGUCUAUAGUGAAGGGGGUUAGUGGUAAAGGUGUUGCAUUUCUUGAAAACAUGGUUGUUUGCAAUAAAUUUUCCUUGCUUAUUUUGGGGGAUUCAGCAACUGGGAUUAUCUGGGUUUUAAAUUUGGCCAAUGAGCCUUGGACUGGCCUUAAGAGUUAAAACCACUGGUUUUCUGUUUCAGAAACGGCUGGCAUUUAGAACUUACACAGCCUAUGGUUUGACCACUAAGCAAUGCAUGUGAUCAUAGUAUUCUCUGUUUCCUUUUUAUCCUCCUCGUGGAAUUCGUUUGUGUAACUCGAAUUCUAGCACUUUUAGUUUCUGUUUAUAUAUUUUUAAGCCUUUGUGUAUAUGGUACUUCUCAACUUUCUUCAGUACUCAAAUUUUGUCAAGGAAGGGGAAGUUCUACUUGGGUCCCUCUCAUAUUUGUAUCGGCUUAGUUUUUUGGGCUGGUUCCACUGUAGUGUUGUUUGGAACUUGGAGUUUUUUUUUUUUUUUGGGGGGGGGGGGUUGUUAUCUAAAGUGAAACAAACUGGAAUGCGAAGGAAAGGCCCCUGUCGUCACUGUGGUAUUGCAAGCACUCCACUUUGGAGGAAUGGCCCGGCAAGGAAACCAGUGUUGUGCAAUGCAUGUGGGUCGAGAUGGAGGGUAAAGGGCAGUCUGGCACGCUAUAUUCCCUUACAUGCCCAGGCCUUCAAUUAUGUCGACAUUCAAGGCUCCAAGAAUACUGAAGAAGUAAGGUCAGAUUUUUCGAACUUCAAAAUUCCUAAGAGGAUGCGUGGCCGCCCAUCAACUGUUGAAAAGCUCAGAAGGGACCUCUUUCGGAUUCUACAAGAGCAAGAAUCACUCUGCCCAUCUCGAUCUCCAGAAGAGGUGCUUAUUUUUAAAAGGGAAGAUCCACAGUCUUCUGAUGAGAUAGGGCUUGGGUGUGUUCUUCUUAAGCCACCAGUUCCAGGAGAGGAACCCAAGUCUCAAAGUAUUCAAGUUAGUGCAACUGAAGGAAGUAAAGAUAGACUGAUUGGAGCCAUUGGGCAAGUAAAGCAAUUGGAAGAAAAUCCUGCAAAAUGGAGUGAUCUCAAAGAGAAAUAUUUGGAGAGAAUUCGAUUAGGUAAUUCUAACACCUUGCAAAGUAUGCAUUCUCUUCAAAUGCACAAAAAUAUGAAGCCCUCAAACAAAGAAAGCUUUGGAGCACAAAAUGAGAUCACUUCCCACUCAGCUUUCAUUCUUGAAUCUGGAAUCUCGGUGCCCACUGAUAGACUUUCAAAGCCUCCAUGUCUCCCCAAAUCUGAAGUUCGCAUAGUGAAUAAGAUGUCGCAUUCAGAUUCUUGCUGGUCCAAGCGCUGCAGGAAUUAAGUGAUGAACAUUAGAACUGCUAUUUUUAUAUUCUCUACAAAUCAUUGUAUGAAAUAAAACUUCAGGAGCCCUUCAUUUGAGGAGCGGUUUUUAAUGAGAUUGAAUUAUCUCAACAGAAUUCACUUUGUAUUACAUGAAUCCCAUCUAACAUGACAUGAUAAAAGGCACCUUCUGAGGAUCAUAUUGUUGAAUAAUGAUUCUGGAGAAUUAAGAUGGUGAUGGCAGAAAAUAUCUGGAUGUGUAGUGCAGUUUCGAGAGUAUUAAGGUCUGUUGGUGUACAAUGUCUUGUAUUCCGUCACAGUUUAACCCAGGGAGUACUUGUGCAGGCCCCCCCAACAGAACUGAGGGCAAUUUUGUACUUUCCGGUAUUAGGGUAUUUCGCUAUAUAUUUGUAGUGAGAGUUACUUUUUAUGUAAGCAAUUUUGAGAGGUGUGAAUACGAACGUUGUAACCCUCUUCUCCAUUGAUAGUGAAACAGAAUCUCAUCUCACCGAGGA